rnacentral:rRNA from 1 species
CCGUCUACUCUUGGACAGCUUCUGAAGGAAGAUUAAUACAAGAUGGCAUCAUGAGUCCGCAUGUUCACAUGAUUAAAGGUAUUCCGGUAGACGAUGGGGAUGCGUUCCAUUAGAUAGUAGGCGGGGUAACGGGCCCACCUAGUCUUCGAUGGAUAGGGGUUCUGAGAGGAAGGUCCCCCACAUUGGAACUGAGACACGGUCCAAACUCCUACGGGAGGCAGCAUGC